GCUGAUGUAGCUCAAUUGGUAGAGCAGCUGACUUGUAAUCAGCAGGCUGUCGGUUCAAGUCCGACCAUCAGCUCCA
rnacentral:tRNA from 1 species